UCGGAAUUACUGGGCGUAAAGCGCACGCAGGCGGUCUGUCAAGUCGGAUGUGAAAUCCCCGGGCUCAACCUGGGAACUGCAUUCGAAACUGGCAGGCUAGAGUCUUGUAGAGGGGGGUAGAAUUCCAGGUGUAGCGGUGAAAUGCGUAGAGAUCUGGAGGAAUACCGGUGGCGAAGGCGGCCCCCUGGACAAAGACUGACGCUCAGGUGCGAAAGCGUGGGGAGCAAACAGGAUUAGAUACCCUGGUAGUCCACGCCGUAAACGAUGUCGAUUUGGAGGUUGUGCCCUUGAGGCGUGGCUUCCGGAGCUAACGCGUUAAAUCGACCGCCUGGGGAGUACGGCCGCAAGGUUAAAACUCAAAUGAAUUGACGGGGGCCCGCACAAGCGGUGGAGCAUGUGGUUUAAUUCGAUGCAACGCGAAGAACCUUACCUGGUCUUGACAUCCACAGAACUUUCCAGAGAUGGAUUGGUGCCUUCGGGAACUGUGAGACAGGUGCUGCAUGGCUGUCGUCAGCUCGUGUUGUGAAAUGUUGGGUUAAGUCCCGCAACGAGCGCAACCCUUAUCCUUUGUUGCCAGCGGUUAGGCCGGGAACUCAAAGGAGACUGCCAGUGAUAAACUGGAGGAAGGUGGGGAUGACGUCAAGUCAUCAUGGCCCUUACGACCAGGGCUACACACGUGCUACAAUGGCAUAUACAAAGAGAAGCGACCUCGCGAGAGCAAGCGGACCUCAUAAAGUAUGUCGUAGUCCGGAUUGGAGUCUGCAACUCGACUCCAUGAAGUCGGAAUCGCUAGUAAUCGUAGAUCAGAAUGCUACGGUGAAUACGUUCCCGGGCCUUGUACACACCGCCCGUCACACCAUGGGAGUGGGUUGCAAAAGAAGUAGGUAGCUUAACCUUCGGGAGGGCGCUUACCACUUUGUGAUUCAUGACUGGGG
rnacentral:rRNA from 1 species